rnacentral:rRNA from 1 species
UACGGGGGGGGUAAGCGUUGUUCGGAAUUACUGGGCGUAAAGGGCUCGUAGGCGGCCAACUAAGUCAUACGUGAAAUCCCUCAGCUUAACUGGGGAACUGCGUGUGAUACUGGAUGGCUUGGAUUUGGGAGAGGGAUGCGGAAUUCCAGGUGUAGCGGUGAAAUGCGUAGAUAUCGAGAGGAACACCUGCGGCGAAGGCGGGUUGCUGGGCUGACACUGACGCUGAUGCGCGAAAGCGUGGGUAGCAAACAGG